UUGGAUAUGGUUGGGUUUCUGCAUAAACAUGUAAUAUCUGUUCUGUUGUUAUGGCUUAUGGGCUUAUGGGCUUUAUUCUGAAUUUCUGUUCUGGGCUAAGGCCAACUUAUUCUAUUUCUGUGGUUUAAGCUGAUAUAGGCUAUGGUUGGGUUAAUUUACACACUGAGUUUCCCCAAACUCACCCCUUUUAUUUUCAUCCACGCAGGAAA
rnacentral:lncRNA from 1 species